rnacentral:rRNA from 1 species
AGUGAACGCUGGCGGUAGACCUAACACAUGCAAGUCGAACGGCAGCACAGUAAGAGCUUGCUCUUACGGGUGGCGAGUGGCGGACGGGUGAGGAAUACAUCGGAAUCUACUUUUUCGUGGGGGAUAACGUAGGGAAACUUACGCUAAUACCGCAUACGACCUACGGGUGAAAGCAGGGGAUCUUCGGACCUUGCGCGAUUGAAUGAGCCGAUGUCGGAUUAGCUAGUUGGCGGGGAAAGGGCCCACCAAGGCGACGAUCCGUAGCUGGUCUGAGAGGAUGAACAGCCACACUGGAACUGAGACACGGUCCAGACUCCUACGGGAGGCAGCAGUGGGGAAUAUUGGACAAUGGGCGCAAGCCUGAUCCAGCCAUACCGCGUGGGUGAAGAAGGCCUUCGGGUUGUAAAGCCCUUUUGUUGGGAAAGAAAAGCAGCAGGUUAAUACCCCGCUGUUCUGACGGUACCCAAAGAAUAAGCACCGGCUAACUUCGUG